UGCCAGCCGCCGCGGUAAUACGAAGGUCCCAAGCGUUGUUCGGAAUCACUGGGCGUAAAGCGUGUGUAGGCUGCGCGGAAAGUCAAAUGUGAAAGCCCGGGGCUCAACCUCGGAACUGCAUCCAAAACUAACCCACUAGAGUACGAUAGAGGGAGGUAGAAUUCAUAGUGUAGCGGUGGAAUGCGUAGAUAUUAUGAAGAAGACCAGUGGCGAAGGCGGCCUCCUGGAUCUGUACUGACACUGAGGUGAGAAAGCGUGGGUAGCGAACAGGAUUAGAUA
rnacentral:rRNA from 1 species